GAAGAAAGAGGGGGGCGUGCUUAACACAUGCAAGUCGAACGGAAAGGCUCCAGCUUGCUGGAGUACUCGAGUGGCGAACGGGUGAGUAACACGUGGGUAAUCUGCCCUGCACUCUGGGAUAAGCCUGGGAAACUGGGUCUAAUACUGGAUAUGACCUUUCUCCUUAUGGGGUUUGGUGGAAAGUUUUUCGGUGUAGGAUGAGCCCGCGGCCUAUCAGCUUGUUGGUGGGGUGAUGGCCUACCAAGGCGACGACGGGUAGCCGGCCUGAGAGGGUGAUCGGCCACAUUGGGACUGAGAUACGGCCCAGACUCCUACGGGAGGCAGCAGUGGGGAAUAUUGCACAAUGGGCGGAAGCCUGAUGCAGCGACGCCGCGUGAGGGAUGACGGCCUUCGGGUUGUAAACCUCUUUCAGCAGGGACGAAGCGUAAGUGACGGUACCUGCAGAAGAAGCACCGGCUAACUAUGUG
rnacentral:rRNA from 1 species